rnacentral:rRNA from 1 species
UACGGAGGGUGGAAGCGUUACUCGGAAUCACUGGGCGUAAAGAGCGCUUAGGCGGGCUAGCAAGUCUGGUGUGAAAGCCCAGGGCUCAACACUGGAAGGGCACUGGAAACUGUUAGGCUUGAGUUCCGGAGAGGAGUGGGGAAUUCCCGGUGUAGCGGUGAAAUGCGUAGAUAUCGGGAGGAAAACCGGUGGCGAAGGCGCCCCUCGGGACGGGAAAUGACGAUGAGGCGCGAAAGCGUGGGGAGCAAACAGG